UCCCGUACUACUGCCCCCCGGGCAGUGCCCAGCCGGUGCCCUGCGAAGGAGGGCACAUGGCCCUCAGCCUGCCUGGCCUCAGGGGCUCAGCUGAGAGAUUCUGCAGAGUUUGUGCUGCAGGGACCUUCCGCAGUGACCCCCUGAUCUCAGCGCCCUGCCAGCCCUGCCCAGCUGGCUUCACCUGCCCACCAGGCAGUGACAGCUACCAGCAGCAGCCUUGUCCCCGUGGCCACUACUGCCCUGCCCUGUCCCCUGCCCCGCUGCCCUGUCCCCCGGGCACCCACGGGAGGAGCCCCUUUGCCAAGCACCCAGGGGACUGCCAGGCCUGUCCUGCUGGCACCUUCAAUCACCUCCCUGCCCAGCCUGCCUGCUUCCCCUGUGGCAGCUCUUCUUCCUCGCAGCCGGGUGCCACCAGCUGUACCUGCCAUGGGCUGAACAGAGCUUUCCAGCACUCAGAUGCCUCCUGCAUCUGCCAGGCAGGUUAUGUUUAUUAUGAUGAAAGAGGCAAGAAAGAUCCCGACAGCAACAGUGAUCAGGAUUGCCGACCUCAGGUGGAUGAGCUGUGUGCCCCUGGCGAGGUCCGGCUGGCGUCCACGCGCCGCUGCGCCGUCCCCGAGCGCCACGACUGCGCUCCCACCUGCGGGCCUGCGGGAGGGGAGCUCCACGCACAGCUGGGCAUAUGUCGCUGCAAGCAGUACGUCUCUGCUGAGGAGCUCUGUGACCAGCUGUGCCUGCUGAGAGCCCCACGCCUCUCCCUGGGCUUUGGCACCCACAGAGAGCUGCUGCUGAGGAUGAACCAGGGGCAAGCGAGGGAGGUGUCAAACGUCCUGGGCCCAGAUGAGCACGUGCAGAGCAGCCAGAGGGUGCAUCUGGUUCUGUUCAGUCCCCAGGGAGUGCUGGGUUUCAUUGUCUCCAGCACAGAAAUUCUGGAUGCGUUUCUCACGGGAGAUUUUUCCUCAGAUCAGCUGCUGCAGAAAGGGCACAGAGUGCAGAGGAGUUCCCCCAAAGACAGCCAGGCCUUGCCCCUCAUCCCUAACCCAGUGGUGUGUCUGGAAGCAGGGGAUACGAUCCUUUUCCAGCUCAGCAUCAAUUCCCAGGACCGUGCCUCCAGCCACUACCCCGUUUACCAGAAGCAACAUCUCUACAACAACAACCCAGGCUGGGAUUUCGGACCCUUCCGGAGGCUGGACCACCUGAUCCGGGAGACUCAGCUCAACAUCUCCUGGUAA
rnacentral:lncRNA from 1 species